CAGUAGCCGCGGUAAUACGAAGGGGGCUAGCGUUGUUCGGAUUUACUGGGCGUAAAGCGCACGUAGGCGGACUUUUAAGUCAGGGGUGAAAUCCCGGGGCUCAACCCCGGAACUGCCUUUGAUACUGGAAGUCUUGAGUAUGGUAGAGGUGAGUGGAAUUCCGAGUGUAGAGGUGAAAUUCGUAGAUAUUCGGAGGAACACCAGUGGCGAAGGCGGCUCACUGGACCAUUACUGACGAUGAGGUGCGAAAGCGUGGGGAGCAAACAGGAUUAGAUACCCCCGUAGUCCCUGUCUCUUAUAC
rnacentral:rRNA from 1 species